rnacentral:misc_RNA from 1 species
AUAAUUCUCAUUAUGAUGCAUUCAAUCCUACAGAGUAUGGCCCGCAGAGAAGCCAACGGGUUGCUUCUUUCCUGUUAUAUUUGUCUGAUGUAGAAGAAGGUGGGGAGACCACGUUUCCAUUGGAGAAUGGCAUGGACAUUGAUGAAAGUUAUGACUUUGAAAAGUGUAUCGGUUUGCAAGUAAAACCACGCCAAGGGGAUGGACUUCUAUUCUAUUCGCUAUUCCCAAAUAAUACAAUUGAUCCGACAUCGCUGCAUGGAAGCUGUCCAGUAAUCAAAGGGGAGAAAUGGGUGGCUACAAAGUGGAUUAG